rnacentral:rRNA from 1 species
CAGUCGCCGCGGUAAUACGAAGGGUGCAAGCGUUAAUCAGAAUUACUGGGCGUAAAGCGUGCGUAGGCGGUGAGUUAAGUCUGCUGUGAAAUCCCCGGGCUCAACCUGGGAAUGGCAGUGGAUACUGGCUCGCUAGAGUGUGUCAGAGGAUGGUGGAAUUCCCGGUGUAGCGGUGAAAUGCGUAGAGAUCGGGAGGAACAUCAGUGGCGAAGGCGGCCAUCUGGGACAACACUGACGCUGAGGCACGAAAGCGUGGGGAGCAAACAGGAUUAGAUACCCCCGUAGUCCCUGUCUCUUAUAC